AGUGAACGCUGGCGGCGUGCUUAACACAUGCAAGUCGAACGAGAACGGAAUAUAGCUUGCUAUAUUUGUCAGCUAAGUGGCGCACGGGUGAGUAAUGUAUAGAUAACCUGCCCUUAAGAAAGGAAUAACAGUUGGAAACGACUGCUAAUGCCCUAUAUGCCUUUAAUACAUAAGUAUGCAAGGGAAACGCUUUAGUGCUUAAGGAUGGGUCUGUAUGGUAUCAGCUUGUUGGUGAGGUAAUGGCUCACCAAGGCUAUGACGCCUAACUGGUUUGAGAGGAUGAUCAGGCACACUGGAACUAGGACACGGUCCAGACUCCUACGGGAGGCAGCAGUGGGGAAUAUUGCACAAUGGACGAAAGUCUGAUGCAGCAACGCCGCGUGGAGGAUGACACACUUCGGUGCGUAAACUCCUUUUAUAUAGGAAGAUAAUGACGGUACUAUAUGAAUAAGCACCGGCUAACUCCGUGCCAGCCGCCGCCGUAAGAC
rnacentral:rRNA from 1 species